rnacentral:rRNA from 1 species
AAUGGGGGCAACCCUGAUCCAGCCAUUCCGCGUGAGUGAAGAAGGCCUUCGGGUUGUAAAGCUCUUUUGUCCGGAGCGAAACGGGUGCGGUGAAUAUCCGCGCUCACUGACGGUACCGGAAGAAUAAGCACCGGCUAACUACGUGCCAGCAGCCGCGGUAAUACGUAGGGUGCGAGCGUUAAUCGGAAUUACUGGGCGUAAAGCGUGCGCAGGCGGAUGCCUAAGCCAGACGUGAAAUCCCCGGGCUUAACCUGGGAAUGGCGUUUGGGACUGGGCGUCUAGAGUGCGGCAGAGGGGACUGGAAUUCCUGGUGUAGCAGUGAAAUGCGUAGAUAUCAGGAGGAACACCGAUGGCGAAGGCAGGUCUCUGGGCUGACACUGACGCUCAUGCACGAAAGCGUGGGGAGCAAA